rnacentral:rRNA from 1 species
AUGAAGAGCGUAUGGUGGAUGCCUUGACUCAAACGAGCGAAGAAGGACGUAGCGGGUUGCGAUAAGCUCCGGGGAGCUGCCGAGCAAGCUUUGAUCCGGAGAUUUCCGAAUGCGGCAACGCAAUCGUUCGUCUCACAUUUUAUGUGACACUCACUCAAAUUCAAAAUGUAAAAAUCAAAAGUCAAAAUUAAGGAAUCGCUUCGCGAUAAUUAUUUUAAAUAAUCGUGAGCGCAGCGAACACCAAAAUUUUGCACUUUGCAUUUUUAUUUUUGAAUUGUUUAUGCGACAUAAUUUCGCAUAAAGUGUGAUGCGAACGAUUAAUGCAAGCUGAAUACAUAGGCUUGUAUGGCGCACCCAGGGAACUGAAACAUCUUAGUACCUGGAGGAAAAUAAAUCUAAAAGAUUCCGUGAGUAGUGGCGAGCGAAAGCGGAGAAGCCUAAACCGUUCUGCUUCGGCAGAGCGGGGUUGCGAGGCAAUGACGUCCUAUCUUGUAAAACGUUGAAUAUAGUUGUCGGCGUUUUACUCGACGGGAGUAAAGUUACAAAUUGUUUUGCUAGCCGAACAAGUCUGGAAAGUCAGACCAAAGAGGGUAAUAGUCCCGUAGGCGAAAGCGAAACAACUUUAUUGUUAUUGUUCUCAAGUAAGGCGGGACCGGAGAAAUCCCGUCUGAAUCCGGGAGCACUAAACUUCCAAGGCUAAAUAUCGUUUGAGAUCGAUAGCGAACUAGUACCGUGAGGGAAAGGUGAAAAGAACCCCGGUGAGGGGAGUGAAAUAGAACUGAAACCAUAUGCUUACGUAGAGUCGGAGCCGCCACACCUAUCUUGGCAAAAUUUUUAGUAAUGCAAAGAAUGAAAGCGAAGCGUCUUCGCCUUUCUUUAAGUGAUUAUUCAAAGUUUAUUGUUGAGAUAGGUGUGGCGGUGACGGCGUGCUUUUUGCAGAACGAGCCAACGAGUUAAUUUUAUGCGGCAAGCCUAAGCGAUUUUAUCGCGAAGGCGCAGUGAAAGCGAGUCAUAACAGACGAAAAUAAGUCGCAUGGAUUAGACCCGAAGCCAGGCGAGCUACAUAUGAGCAGGGUGAACCCCGAGUAACAUCGGGGGGAGGCCCGAACCCACGCGCCGUACAACACGCGGGGAUGACUUGUGUGUAGAGGAGAAAUUCCAAUCGAGCUUGGCCAUAGCUGGUUCUUCCCGAAAUAGCUUGAGGGCUAGCGUCGGAUUCACCCCUCACCAUUUUUGCACGUGCAUUCACGUGCGGCACUGACCCGAAUAGGGUCGGGCUAUUCGCCCGCGUGCCGCGCAUGGGUUGCGCGAUAACCUAUAAUAUUAGUUUAUCGUGUUAGCGCUAGCAAAAAUGGUGAUGGGGUAAAUUGAUCACAGGAGGUAGAGCUACUGAAUGAGGGAUCAUGGAGCAAUCCUAGGUCUCUCAACCAAACUCCGAAUGCCUGAUGAUUUUAUCCCGACAGUCAGAGCGUGGGGGCUAAGCUUCACGUUCAAGAGGGAAACAGCCCAGAUCGCAGUCUAAGGUCCCUAAAUCUAUGUUAAGUGGUAAAGGAAGUGAAGUUUCCUAGACACCUAGGAGGUUGGCUUAGAAGCAGCCAUCCUUUAAAGAGUGCGUAACAGCUCACUAGUCUAGAGAUUUUGCGCCGAAAAUUCAACGGGGCUAAAACAUAGUACCGAAGACGCGGAUGUCAGUGCGAGGCACUGGAAUUUUGAAAAUCGAAUUUUGAAUUUCGAAUGAAUUUUUAAUGAUUUAAUUUUUGAUAAUUAAAACAUUAAGACAUUCGAAUUUAAUUCAAAAUUUAAAAUUAACAAAUUUGAAAUUCCAAUGCUUUGCAUUGGCGUGGUAGGGAAGUGUCCUCAUCUGCUGCGAAGCCGAAGGCGUGAGCCACGGUGGAGCGUUGAGGAGUAAGAAUGUUGGCAUGAGUAACCGCAAUUACGGUGAGAACCCGUGACGCCGAAAGUCCAAGGUUUCCUGGGCAAUGUCGAUCAACCCAGGGUUAGGCGAUCCUAAGGCGAGGCCGAAAGGCGUAGUCGAUGGACAG